UCGUGCUAGGCGGGGAGCUAGCGGUGCCCUGUAUCCGCAAUCCGCUAUAGCGGGGCUGAAUUCCUGCUCGAGGUCUGCUGCCUCUGGGACUGCUUGUGUUAAGUGGUGUUGAAGACUGGGUCCUGUGCAGCAGAACACUGUGAACCCCGUCAGGUCCGGAAGGAAGCAGCGGUAAAUAGUAGCUUCUGGGUGCCGCAGGGUUGCCUGGUUGGAGCUGGCUGACAGGGGCAAGCCAGAAAGCGGGAUCGACAGCAGGUGCACGA
rnacentral:SRP_RNA from 1 species